UACAGAGGGUGCGAGCGUUAAUCGGAGUUACUGGGCGUAAAGGGCGCGCAGGCGGUUAGACAAGUGAGAUGUGAAAUCCCCGGGCUUAACCCGGGAACUGCAUUUCAAACUGUCUGGCUGGAGUACUGUAGAGGGUAGUGGAAUUUCCGGUGUAGCGGUGAAAUGCGUAGAGAUCGGAAGGAACACCAGUGGCGAAGGCGGCUACCUGGACAGAUACUGACGCUGAGGCGCGAAAGCGUGGGGAGCAAACAGG
rnacentral:rRNA from 1 species